rnacentral:rRNA from 1 species
UACAGAGGGUGCGAGCGUUGUCCGGAAUCACUGGGCGUAAAGGGUGCGUAGGCGGGUCUUUAAGUCAGGGGUGAAAUCCUGGAGCUCAACUCCAGAACUGCCUUUGAUACUGAGGAUCUUGAGUUCGGGAGAGGUGAGUGGAACUGCGAGUGUAGAGGUGAAAUUCGUAGAUAUUCGCAAGAACACCAGUGGCGAAGGCGGCUCACUGGCCCGAUACUGACGCUGAGGUGCGAAAGCGUGGGGAGCAAACAGG